CGCGUAGGCGGCAUUGUUAGUCGACUUGUGAAAUCUCCGGGCUUAACUCGGAAUGGCCAAGUGAUACUGCAGUGCUAGAGUGCGGAAGGGGCAAUCGGAAUUCUUGGUGUAGCGGUGAAAUGCGUAGAUAUCAAGAGGAACACCUGAGGUGAAGACGGGUUGCUGGGCCGACACUGACGCUAGAGGCGCGAAAGGCCAGGGGAGCAAACG
rnacentral:rRNA from 1 species